CAGCAGCCGCGGUAAUACCGGCGGCCCGAGUGGCGGCCACUAUUAUUGGGCCUAAAGCGUCCGUAGCCGGGCUGGUAAGUCCUCCGGGAAAUCUGGUCGCUUAACGAUCGGACUUCCGGAGGAUACUGCUGGCCUAGGGACCGGGAGAGGCCGAGGGUAUUCCCGGGGUAGGGGUGAAAUCCUGUAAUCCCGGGAGGACCACCUGUGGCGAAGGCGCUCGGCUGGAACGGGUCCGACGGUGAGGGACGAAGGCCAGGGGAGCGAACCGGAUUAGAUGCCCGGGUAGUCCUGGCGGUAAACGAUGCGGACUAGGUGUCGGGCAAGCUAAGGGCUUGUCGGGUGCCGCAGGGAAGCCGUUAAGUCCGCCGCCUGGGGAGUACGGCCGCAAGGCUGAAGCUUAAAGGAAUUGGCGGG
rnacentral:rRNA from 1 species